rnacentral:lncRNA from 1 species
GAAUUGAGACAUUGAGUUUUCCAGAAAUCAUCGUUCGGCUUUAUUUAACGCGAAGCUAUUAAAGAAAACUCCAGACGAUACAGAGUUCAAUCAAAAGUCAAAACUACGUAAGGAGGAAGGAGAGAAAAGAAAACUUAAGUGUGGCAAGAUGGAAAACGAAACAAUGUUGGGAGGGUCGAGAAUCUGGAGAAACUUCUGAACUUAACACUGAACAGGCUGAAAUUCUCUAAAUUUAUCGCUCAUUGGCCUACAAGCAACAAGGCAACAUCUGAUGAUUCUGAUCUUGCAUGAAUGGAAGAGAACAUUUGGCACUAUGAUAAUAAUUUGGUUAACUUUUGAAGAGAAAGUGAGGAGAAAAUACUCCAAGGAUCUCAUUCCUCCAACAACUAUGGCAGAUUUGUUCACGGUUUGCCCUCGCCGCUGUUCGAUAGACUUUAUCAAUUGGUGGAAAAUGACAAGUGGUCGGCCGCGCUGAAAUUCAAGAUCGAUAAAUUAUAUACAGUAGAUGUUUAGAAAUUACAAGUGCAUAUCUGGGCUCCCUUCUCAGUGGCCCCGUUUCCCUAAUUAACCACUAACCAGUCGCUGCGACAACCAGGAGUAAGGGAGUGGACUGGUCGAACAGGGACUUGCAAGGCGCAUGAUUCGAUGAAAUCUGUUGGAGGGUCAUGAGUCUAAGCCGGAAGACUACUAAGAUUAAUCGCUCUCGUAAUAACUGUUCCUCGGCUCUCUUCGCUCUUUUUCCGGUUUCUUUUAACCAUUGCCGGGUAACCUCCCUUGUCGAGUCAGUGCGGGUAGUGUCUUCCCUUGCUUGACUGGCUGUAGUUUGAACCGGACGGUCUGUUAAAAUAAGAAUUUAAAUCUAGAACAACGCCUCCUUUGAGCGGCCCGGACAACCCUGAAUCCUUUAGGGUUGCCAUUCCAUCGAGGCUUAAACGAGGAUGACGCGGAGGUGUUGCUCAUUGAGGGGUUUUGGUGACAAGGAGUCACUGAACGAAACGCUAAACCAAAUGAAAAAAUAAGAAAGCCAACGAUCCUUUAUAUAUCCGAGCCGAGUCCUUUCCGUCUACAUUCGGUAUGAAGAGCAAAACCCAAAUUUCAACACAUUUUACUGCUUAGCAACGAAAACAAAGCGAGUGUCAAAACAUUGUUUUACUUGCGCAUACUUUAUUGUGGCAGAAACGCGUUGGUCAUGUAACAGGGUGGAAUUUUUUUCCCUUUUGUUCAUGCAGCAUCAAACGACACGCGAUAGGUUCUGGCGGUAAUCAACUAUUCAAAAUGGUAGACAUGUCAAUGUAAAAGACAGGAUGCUCCUAAAUCAGCUGUGGAAAUACGAUUCCCCCCGCUUCUCCUGGAUGGUUACUUAGGAUCAUUUAAGUUCAUUUUUGAGUUAUUCGUUGUGAACGUAGCGGACAGUCUAUCGAGCU